rnacentral:tRNA from 1 species
UUUAACCCCUUCCCCUACUA